rnacentral:rRNA from 1 species
CCUACGGGAGGCAGCAGUGCGGGAAUAUUGCACAAUGUGAGGAAACCCUGAUGCAGCGACGCCGCGUGAGUGAAGAAGUAUUUCGGUAUGUAAAGCUCUAUCAGCAGGAAAGAAAAUGACGGUACCUGACUAAGAAGCCCCGGCUAACUACGUGCCAGCAGCCGCGGUAAU